UAAUAGGUUUUCUUCUAUGUUCUCAUUGA
rnacentral:piRNA from 1 species